rnacentral:rRNA from 1 species
AACGAACGCUGGCGGCAUGCCUAACACAUGCAAGUCGAACGAGACCUUCGGGUCUAGUGGCGCACGGGUGCGUAACGCGUGGGAACCUGCCCUUAGGUUCGGAAUAACUCCCCGAAAGGGGUGCUAAUACCGGAUAAUGUCUUCGGACCAAAGAUUUAUCGCCUUUGGAUGGGCCCGCGUUGGAUUAGCUAGUUGGUAGGGUAAAAGCCUACCAAGGCGACGAUCCAUAGCUGGUCUGAGAGGAUGAUCAGCCACACUGGGACUGAGACACGGCCCAGACUCCGACGGGAGGCAGCAGUGGGGAAUAUUAGACAAUGGGCGAAAGCCUGAUCCAGCAAUGCCGCGUGAGUGAUGAAGGCCUUAGGGUUGUAAAGCUCUUUUACCCGGGAUGAUAAUGACAGUACCGGGAGAAUAAGCUCCGGCUAACUCCGUG